CAACAUCCUAACGAGACCCAAUUACAUGAUACAGUUUGAAAUUUUACUCAGAAAGAGCUGUGAACCUGAUGGAGUUGUCGCUUUUCAUCCUUCUUGGUUGCUGUUGACCAUCUCUCAAGGCAUAUUUCACGAUCCUCAUUAGCAAGCAAGGUGAGCUGGUGCAGUUCUUCAACAAGUGGGUGAGAGGUGCCCAGUCCUGUUGUGAGAAACAAUUCUGCUUCCUCCAGGAUAUGAAGGCCCUCUCGAAACUCCUUCAGAUAAAUCUUUGCCUUUCCAAGGUUGAAGAGGAAGAGGGAGAGUACGGGACUGUUGUCACUGUAGUAGAACCUGUGGGGAGGUCAUUCUUGGUACCCAAAACUUGUACUCCAGUGCAUUAUCUCACUUACAACUAUGAAUGUUAAUUGUACAUAGCAUACAAUAUAUUGUAUAAUUUACUUAUGAACUGAUUAGAUACUGAUUCUUUGAUGGAAAAUUCUUUAGAGCUAUAUAGAUUAAAUUGUUUCUUCCAAAUUUCUAUCUUGAAUUUAAGUCACAAGAAAUAUGGACUGGCAUUACUUGCUCACUUAAUAUGGUUGAUGUGUUAGGGUAGUGAUAUCUAGCUUGGUAAAGACACUGUAUUUACUUCCCCUGAAGCCUAAAACUUAUUACCCUGUGGAUUUAUUAAAUAAAAAGAAAUAUUACA